UGGGGAAUAUUGGACAAUGGGCGAAAGCCUGAUCCAGCCACGCCGCGUGUGUGAAGAAGGUCUUCGGAUUGUAAAGCACUUUAAGUUGGGAGGAAGGGCAUUAACCUAAUACGUUAGUGUUUUGACGUUACCGACAGAAUAAGCACCGGCUAACUCUGUGCCAGCAGCCGCGGUAAUACAGAGGGUGCAAGCGUUAAUCGGAAUUACUGGGCGUAAAGCGCGCGUAGGUGGUUUGUUAAGUUGGAUGUGAAAUCCCCGGGCUCAACCUGGGAACUGCAUUCAAAACUGACUGACUAGAGUAUGGUAGAGGGUGGUGGAAUUUCCUGUGUAGCGGUGAAAUGCGUAGAUAUAGGAAGGAACACCAGUGGCGAAGGCGACCACCUGGACUAAUACUGACACUGAGGUGCGAAAGCGUGGGGAGCAAACA
rnacentral:rRNA from 1 species